rnacentral:tRNA from 1 species
GCCUUCGUGGUGUAGUGGUCAGCACGCUCGACGCGUAUUCGAGAGGUCCAUGGAUCGAGUCCUCGCGAGGGCA